rnacentral:rRNA from 1 species
UACGUAGGGUGCGAGCGUUAAUCGGAAUUACUGGGCGUAAAGCGUGCGCAGGCGGUUUUGUAAGCCAGAUGUGAAAUCCCCCGGGCUUAACCUGGGAAUGGCAUUUGGGACUGCAAGGCUCGAGUGCGGCAGAGGAGACUGGAAUUCCUGGUGUAGCAGUGAAAUGCGUAGAUAUCAGGAGGAACACCGAUGGCGAAGGCAGGUCUCUGGGCCAUUACUGACGCUGAGGAGCGAAAGCGUGGGG